GAUGAACGCUGGCGGCGUGCCUAAUACAUGCAAGUCGAGCGAAUGGAUUAAGAGCUUGCUCUUAUGAAGUUAGCGGCGGACGGGUGAGUAACACGUGGGUAACCUGCCCAUAAGACUGGGAUAACUCCGGGAAACCGGGGCUAAUACCGGAUAACAUUUUGAACCGCAUGGUUCGAAAUUGAAAGGCGGCUUCGGCUGUCACUUAUGGAUGGACCCGCGUCGCAUUAGCAAGUUGGUGAGGUAACGGCGCACCAAGGCAACGAUGCGUAGCCGACCUGAGAGGGUGAUCGGCCACACUGGGACUGAGACACGGCCCAGACUCCUACGGGAGGCAGCAGUAGGGAAUCUUCCGCAAUGGACGAAAGUCUGACGGAGCAACGCCGCGUGAGUGAUGAAGGCUUUCGGGUCGUAAAACUCUGUUGUUAGGGAAGAACAAGUGCUAGUUGAAUAAGCUGGCACCUUGACGGUACCUAACCAGAAAGCCACGGCUAACUACGUGCCAGCAGCCGCGGUAA
rnacentral:rRNA from 1 species